UACGAGGGGGGCAAGCGUUGUUCGGAAUUAUUGGGCGUAAAGAGCUCGUAGGUGGUUUGUCGCGUUGUUCGUGAAAACUCACAGCUUAACUGUGGGCGUGCGGGCGAUACGGGCAGACUGGAGUACUGCAGGGGAGACUGGAAUUCCUGGUGUAGCGGUGGAAUGCGCAGAUAUCAGGAGGAACACCGGUGGCGAAGGCGGGUCUCUGGGCAGUAACUGACGCUGAGGAGCGAAAGCGUGGGGAGCGAACAGG
rnacentral:rRNA from 1 species